rnacentral:rRNA from 1 species
CUACGAGCUGCUGCAGCAAGGAAUAUUGGGCAAUGGGCGCAAGCCUGACCCAGCGACACCGCGUGGAGGAAGAAGGCCUUCGGGUUGUAAACUUCUUUUCCCGGGGAAGAAUCAUGACGGUACCUGGGGAAUAAGCCUCGGCUAACUACGUGCCAGCAGCCGCGGUAAUACGUAGGAGGCGAGCGUUAUCCGGAUUUACUGGGCGUAAAGAGGGCGUAGGCGGCUUGUCAAGUCGGAUGUGAAAUCUCCCGGCUUAACUGGGAGGGUGCAUCGGAAACUGAUGGGCUGGAGUGCAGCAGAGGGAAGUGGAAUUCCCGGUGUAGUGGUGAAAUGCGUAGAUAUCGGGAAGAACACUAGUGGCGAAGGCGGCUUCCUGGGCUGUAACUGACGCUGAGGCCCGAAGGCGUGGGGAGCAAACAGGAUUAGAUACCCCAGUAGUC